CUCAAAUAUUUCUGUUUUGUAAUAUAGCUAAAGUUAAAUCAAACAUUAAUUGCAUUUUUUUUUCUAGGUUGCAAUAAAAAUAAUUGACAAAACUCAAUUGAAUCCAACUAGUCUACAAAAGCUGUUUAGGGAAGUAAGGAUAAUGAAGAUUUUAAAUCAUCCCAAUAUAGUUAAAUUAUUUGAAGUAAUUGAGACUGAAAAAACACUCUACUUAAUCAUGGAAUAUGCAAGUGGAGGUAAGUUCAAACAUUUGCAAG